rnacentral:rRNA from 1 species
AGAGUUUUGAUCCUGGCUCAGGAUGAACGCUAGCGGCAGGCCUAACACAUGCAAGUCGAGGGGCAGCGGGGUGUAGCAAUACACUGUCGGCGACCGGCGCACGGGUGAGUAACGCGUAUCCAACCUUCCCCUUAGUAGGGCAUAGCCCGGCGAAAGUCGGAUUAAUACCCUAUGUUGUUCAUCGCAGGCAUCUAAAGUGAACCAAAGAUUUAUUGCUAAGGGAUGGGGAUGCGUCUGAUUAGGUUGUUGGCGGGGUAAUGGCCCACCAAGCCAUCGAUCAGUAGGGGUUCUGAGAGGAAGGUCCCCCACAUUGGAACUGAGACACGGUCCAAACUCC